rnacentral:antisense_RNA from 1 species
GUGAACUGAGCAAGUGAGGGAUCUAGGUUGCAUGCUUCUUAUGAGAAUCUAAUGCCUGAUGAUCUGUCACUGUCUCCUAUCUCAUCUAAUUGCAGGAAAACAAGCUCAGGGCUCCCACUGAUUGUACAUUAUGGUGAGACGUGGUCUUGUAACACAGUGGUUAAGAAUGUGACUUUGGAGCCAGCCUGCUAGGGGCUGAAUUCUGACUCAGCCAUUUACUAACUGUGUGACCUUAGGGAGGAGGACCUGGUUGAUAGAAGAAUUUAUCUCGUAGUCUUAACAUCCACUGUAAUUCCAAACUUUGAGGACGAUAGAGAUCAGUGGGCUUUGACUGCCCAGCAUGCAGUCUCCAUUCUUAGGUGGGUUCCCAAGCCUGUAAAAUGUAAGCCUUAUGCUGCUGAGGGCCAUCUUGCCACCCUGAGGGAAACGCUGCCUGAGAAUGAAACCAGCAUAAGUAAAAGCUGAGCUGUGAGAUGGAGCAAGAUGAAGGCCACAUGACAUCUUUGGAGCACCUGGAUCUAACUGUGCCUUAAGCUAGUCUAACCCUGAACAUUUCAUCAUUUCAUUGACAUGAGCCCAGGUUUUCUUUUUUUUUGGAUGGAGUCUUGCUCUGUCGCCCAGGCUGGAGUGCAGUAGCUCAAUCUCGGCUCACUGCAAGCUCC